CGCCAAUGUCAACUCCUGAUCCAGCAGUUUCAGGGAAAACAGUCUAAUAACAAGGAGAAGGAGUCGGACAAGGCCGAAGACAAGGAGGACAGUGAGGAAGGAUAUCCGCAUAUCAACUCUACUCUGAUGAUCUUUGCAGAUGUGGAGAGCAAGAGUCGAUUGAAAGUUAUUAACCGUGAGGUGAACAUGGUUGCCCCAGCGAAAGCAAAUUAUCUGAAAUGGUCCCAAACACCCAUCACCUUCGACCAAUCUGAUCACCCGACUCAUAUUGCCACCCCUGGGAGGCAAGCUUUGGUGGUCGAUCCAGUUGUUGAAGGCACUCGACUGACAAAAGUGCUUAUGGACGGUGGUAGUGGG
rnacentral:rRNA from 1 species